AUGAGACGCAACUUUCGUCAGUCCGUCAUUAAGCCAGCGACUCCAGCUCAGAAAGGUCCCCCGUUGGCUGGACAUCCAGGGAGUUUCCAGGGAUCCUCUUAUGACGCGCACACGGUGAGGCUCCGUGCCAACCAGAGGCGGUGCUGGCCAGGCUCUAGCUCUCCAGCAGAGAAGCAAGGGGGUGGCAGCUGGCCCCCAAGCUCCUCCUCAGGAGUCCCUGGAGGGAGGAGGGCUCCUCCGCACCCUCUCCAGCCCUCGCAGGCGCGCAGGAGGGCCAGGCGGGUCUCCAUCAGCGCGGGGAUGUCUCCAGGACCACACGACUCGUUUGCCCGUGAACAUCUGCCCCCUGCGACCCCACCUGGCCCCUCGCGGCCCACACACUCAUGCUCGGAACCACAUCACUGUCCCAGAGUCCGCCCAGUCUUCAGGGGCCCACACCGCGGGCCUCUCCUCCCCGGCCCAGGGUCAUCACGUCCCCUCCGGCAUCCACUCACCCCACUGCGGUCUGUCAGGAUUCGGAGUCAGUCGCCCCAGACCCUGGGCCGGUGUCACAAAGCUUGGGGUUCCGGUCCCCCAACACAGGCACGCGCAGGCGGAGGGGACCACGUGGCAGCCACGGAGCAGCUCCCGCCCCGACACGCAGGCACAGCCAUCACCAUCUUUCUGUGAGACUCGGAGUGAGCAGUGUUUCACCUUUGCCGCCAGCUGCAGUGACUUCAUCACCAUAGGCCCUUGGACUCCUGGACAAGCAGCAGAACCCAGCUCCUGUGGCUGCAUUGCUGGGACGGAGAUUGGUAAACAUUGCAUGAAUUCCAGGGCUCUUGGAGGAAUUAACUGAUAAAGUUGAUAUUUUAACCUCAGGGCCUGGAAGGAUUAAGGUCAUAAGAGUCCAGAACCAUGGGCGGAAUGGGAAGAGGAAGCCAGCAUUGCAGAGCAGAGCAGAGAGGAGGGAACCUGCACACUGGUGACUGUUAUAGUUGUGCAGGUUUUAUUUACAUCUGAUGAUGCUGAGCCAUGUUUUGUUGGAUUUUGUGGGAAAGGGGUUUUCUGAUACCUGCAAACAGCAGAACUGUCAUCAUGGAGAUUUGGGAGAAGCCCCUGCACUGCCCUAAUCUGGAUCUUGACAGGAGGAGAGAGCAGAGCCUGAAUCUCUGGGGAAGCCCGGGAGGUCAUGGGGCCAGGCAGCAGCCCCAAGGGAAGCCAGGGCCAGGCAGCUCUGCCAUCAAGUGGGGCUGAGCAGGGUGAGCUGCUUCUCCAGGACAGGACAGCCUGAGGAAGAGGGUCUUCUUGGCCUGGUGGUCUGCUCAACUCAGAAGACACCUGAUCAGAAAGGCAGCUACAGUCAGCUGAAGUCCACUACCGUGGAACCAACAUGCAUGGGCAGGCACAUCACAGGACGGACUUCCCUCCAGGACACCACCUGGAACCUUGAAUCCUUCGCUACCUCUGGGGCAGUGGAGACAUUGACCCCGCCCAGCCCCUACCCAGUGAGGGCAGCGUCAGUCACAGAGGGUCCGCGGGAAACCCAGCCCCCGUCUGAGUAAUGUGAAUAAAUAUCUGGCAACAAAUACACAUGCAGCAAAAUCUUGGGCCUAACUGUU
rnacentral:lncRNA from 1 species